AGAGAGGCGUUAGUUUAGCCAAUAAUCGCUGUGUCAUAGAGGGAUGGAGACAUUAUUGAAAGGUCGUUGUGACCGUUCCGAUUACCUGUUGGACUGGUUUCGCGCGCGUUCAUUCCAGUGCAGUCAGCAGCGAGCGCCCGUCUGUCUGCGUGUCUUAUUGGAGCUCACCGCGCGGUGGCACCGUGCGUCAGCCCCCUUCGCGCGCACCUCUCUCUCUGAUCCACUGCUCAUAUGAUGCUGGAGAUCUUCAGCGCGACGGGCCGGUUCCUGGGCGGCAUUCAGCGAUGACAGUUUGAUCUCUCACGAAUACCGUUUUGCACCCUCGUACACAGCGAAGCUUUACGCAGAGCAUGUUUCGAUUGGACCAAGCGGCACUGUGUCGCACUACAUCGGGACUUGGAAAGUUACUUAAACCGAAUGAAGCUUAUUCUGGAUCUGGGCGGACUCAGUAAACGAGAGGUUCUUCACUGCAAAGACUCGUCUUGGGGAUAACAUAUUAGCAACGCGCCAGUAACAGAGCUAACUUUUGGUUUACUGGAAUGGGAAUAACAGCGUCAUUGAUCAUGAGCGAAUUAUCACCCGUCUAAUCAGAUCCUGGGGACCGUUAUCAACAGUUCGUAAACUAGAGGCGUUUGCACUCUGGAGUGGGAAUAUAGCCUACUUAUUGAUCAAACAUUUAUUAAGUGAAUGCAUGAGAGUAGAGAUAGUGGAUGAAAGAACCAAAGUCUCUGUGAUAAGACUUGUGCAUUGGACUCACAGACUGUUAAGAACUGAAGUUUUAACACACUGUUCACAAAAUCACAUCACAACGGAGUUGAACAGUAUUCAAGUUUGAGAUAUAAAUGUAAAGGAUUGGUCUUUUUUUUUUAGUCGCACAAGUCCUCGCACAAGACGCGCCAGAGACACUCCAGAAAAUUACGCGCACAACUGUGGCUGGACUGUGGAAGAGCAACAUGUACCCUGCGUGCUGGACAAACGCUCCCAGUGUCUCUCCAUCUGCCUCUCUGGCAAUGUUUGGGAAUUCGGGUAAAGCGAGAAAGAGACCCUGUUGGAUUGUAAUAUUGCUGUCGGUCAUCCUACAUCUGGUGUCAGCACAAGGAAUGGCUUUGCCUCGCCUUGUUUGGGUUGAGCCUCUUGAUGGGGUUGCUUCUAGCCAAAACACCAAGUUCCAGAGGCUGCACUGGUUUCAGACCCAACCACAAGGGUAUUGAGAGAGUGAAGCGGAGAAAUAGAGAUGCGGUGUACUCUUCAUUCUCUGAUAUGGUGGAUGGGUAUGGCUUUGACAGUGAUCUUUCCCUAGCAUUUCUAUGGUCAGUGGUUUUUCUAUUUCCAUUACCCACUGAAACAGUCUCCUCUCUAAUGUGAAAAGGAGACUACAGUAGGUUAGCUAAACAGGGGUCAUAAAGUAGAAAACAUCAACAACAGUGGGAAAACCCCAUGUCGUCAUGCUAAAAGGUUUAAUGAAGGACCCAGAGUUGUGUUUACAAUGUGUGAAAAGAGCCUUUCCAGAGGUCCAGAAGCUCCAUCUGGAAAUCUUCUCAUUGUUUGUAUCUCUUGGAAAACACUCUAUAUCUUUAUGUCUAUGUUUGCACAAGUGUCUUUGUGUGGAUUUUCCCCUCAUCCAAGAUCACAUUUCUUC
ensembl:lncRNA